rnacentral:tRNA from 1 species
GGGUGAUUGGCGCAGGGGUAGCGCGCUUCGUUCACACCGAAGAGGUCGGCGGUUCGAUCCCGCCAUCACCCACCA